rnacentral:rRNA from 1 species
GACGAACGCUGGCGGCGUGCUUAACACACGCAAGUCGAACGGUAAGGCCCUUCGGGGUACACGAGUGGCGAACGGGUGAGUAACACGUGGGUGAUCUGCCCUGCACUUCGGGAUAAGCCUGGGAAACUGGGUCUAAUACCGGAUAGGACUCCGGACUGCAUGGUCUGGGGUGGAAAGCUUUUGCGGUGUGGGAUGGGCCCGCGGCCUAUCAGCUUGUUGGUGGGGUGAUGGCCUACCAAGGCGACGACGGGUAGCCGGCCUGAGAGGGUGACCGGCCACACUGGGACUGGGAUACGGCCCAGACUCCUAGGGGAGGCAGCAGUGGGGAAUAUUGCACAAUGGGGGCAAGCCUGAUGCAGCGACGCCGCGUGAGGGAUGACGGCCUUGGGGUUGUAAACCUCUUUCAGCAUCGACGAAGCGAAAGUGACGGUAGGUGCAGAAGAAGGACCGGCCAACUACGUGCCAGCCGCCCGCCGUAA